CCUGCAAAUAGAUUACUUCAAGGAUAAACUUAAUUUCAACUUUACCCGUUACCCUCAUUACCAUAAUCAUACAUAAUACUUUAUAUACAAAUUUUAUGGUGAUUUAAAGCUAGAGGCAAAUCAUAGCUGCUCAAUAGAUUAGUUCCCCUUUAUCUUCUUUUCAUUUGGCCUCCCUGAAGGAGACAAGAAGUUUGUUGAAGGAGAAGUGAAUAAGAUGUUUACUUCAUUUGCAAUACGGUGGACUUUUGCCAUGAUGGGAAUGUGGAGAUAGAUGAAGGGGUGAAGGCAUAUAGUCUGAAUUUAUCCACAACACAGAAUCAUGAAGAAGGAAAUAAGCUAGCAGUUGGCAACUCUCCCUGGAACGAACUAGACAAGAUCUUUACCUUUCUGAGACUGAAUUUUACAACCUGUAAAAAGAUGUUCAAUGCCUGCUUCCU
rnacentral:lncRNA from 10 species